rnacentral:tRNA from 1 species
GGGGAUGUGACUCAGUGGUAGAGCAUUUACUUAGCAUAUAGAAGGCCCUAGGUUCAAACCCCAGUACUGCCA